rnacentral:rRNA from 1 species
UACAGAGGUGGCAAGCGUUGUUCGGAAUUACUGGGCGUAAAGGGCGCGUAGGCGGCCUUCUAAGUCAGACGUGAAAUCCCCCGGCUUAACCUGGGAACUGCGUCUGAUACUGGAGGGCUUGAGUGCGGGAGAGGGAUGUGGAAUUCCAGGUGUAGCGGUGAAAUGCGUAGAUAUCUGGAGGAACACCGGUGGCGAAGGCGGCAUCCUGGACCGAUAUUGACGCUGAUGCGCGAAAGCCAGGGGAGCAAACGGG